CAUGUAACUGGGGGUUCCAACAAUCGAGGAAGCAAGGUCAUCUGAAGUCAACAUCUUGGCAAGUCCAAAAUCACCUAGACGAAUAUCCUGCUCUCUAGUUAGAAAUAUAUUCGAGCACUUGACAUCACGAUGAAGGAUAUGAUUCGUGUGCAAGUAGUCAAGAGCCAUUAAGAGUUGAACAAGCCACUUGCAUAGUUUCUCUUCAAGAAAAUGGACACCCUUUGCUUUUUUUAUGGCCUCUGCCAUGUCUCCACCUUCGCAAUAACCUAUGACUAUGCACACAUAGCAACCCUUCUCCACCCAUGAGUCUUUGUACUCCACAAUGAAAGGAUUUUGCAUACUCGAAAUAAGGGCCAUCUCCUGGUGUGCAUUUCGGCGAGUCCUAUCCGUUUGCCGAGCGAGACGAAUUUUUUUCAGUACAUACUUCUUCUUUUCAAGCUUAUGCUUCACAAGAACCGCAGAGCCAAAAGCCCCUUUGCCAAUUUGCUCCAAUAUUUCAUACUGCUCCAUUGAGCCCGUAACUGACUUUCUUUUCAAAGUUCAAACUUCAACUUGCACCAAUCCCGUUGCAGAAACGUGAAGCUUUGAUGGAUCACGAGCUACAUUGAAGAAUACAUAGGGCAAACGAGAUGUGAAAACGACGUCGUCCGUAGCCUUUGGUCAGAAGAGCAGUAGAGGCAGAAGAAGAAGAAGAAGAUGAGGAGGAAGAAGUGAGUGUUCUUGCUCUUCUUCCAUAGUGUUUU
rnacentral:misc_RNA from 1 species